rnacentral:rRNA from 1 species
GACGAACGCUGGCGGCGUGCCUAAUGCAUGCAAGUCGAGCGGGCUACGAUCUUCGGAUUGUAGCUUAGCGGCGAACGGGUGAGUAACACGUAGGUGAUCUACCCUUCAGAGGAGGACAACCUCAGGAAACUGAGGCUAAACCUUCAUACGUUCACUGGUAGGGAUACUGGUGAAGAAAGAGUUACCUUAGUGGUAGCUGCUGAAGGAUGAGCCUGCGGCCCAUCAGGUAGUUGGUGAGGUAACGGCUCACCAAGCCGAAGACGGGUAACCGGUCUGAGAGGAUGUCCGGUCACACUGGGACUGAGACACGGCCCAGACUCCUACGGGAGGCAGCAGCAGGGAAUCUUGGGCAAUGGGCGAAAGCCUGACCCAGCGACGCCGCGUGCAGGAAGGAGCCCUUCGGGGUGUAAACUGCUGUCGUGUAGGGAGAAGGGUACUAAGGUGAACAAUCUUAGUACUUGACGGUACUACAGGAGGAAGCCCAGGCUAACCUCGUGCCAGCACG